rnacentral:lncRNA from 1 species
CCAUUGAGUGUGUACAUUGGUCAUUGAGGCUGCUUUAUUGAGUUAGUUGCUUAUGAAAGUUCAUAUGUGAACUUGCAUAAGGCUUUCAUCUCCUUAUGCCUAUUUCGUUAUGUAUCCUAUGUGUGAGAAAUGAAUGACCUUUUCUUAGGGACUCCAGAUCGUUGUCUUCUCCAUCAUUACAUACAUUGGUGAUUUGACUAUUCUCCAUGACUUGAUUUUGAGUGGAUUAGUGCUCAUUCAUUUUCCUUUGAUAUAUUUGUUCCUCUCAUGGUAUUUCAUUCACCUUGGCUACAUUGUUCUUUGUACAUAUCGGUUUAUAUUCCGUGUUCAAUAUUUUCCACACAUCAUUUUUGUACAUCCCAUCAACAAUUCGAUAUUCUUUAUUUCUUUUAUUUCAUCAUCGAUACAUUCAUCUUAGAUUCUUUCUUCUUACUAAUAUAUUCAUAUUGGACGUCCUUAAAUCCAUGGUUUGUGAGACUCUAUGCACAUAUUGCAUUUUAUAGACGAGGGUAUGAGGUUUCACAUUGGGAUUAUUGAGCCUAGUUUCCAUUCAUUUCUUCACCUUAUUACCUUAGCCUACGUUAUGUCCUGAGUCUUAAGACCACCCUAAGGCCAUGACAUCACACAUUGUGCUUGAUAGCUCUUAUGUGGGCAAUACUUAGGAUUGGUUCGAGAGCAUUCUGAUUGUGAUGGACAAGGUGUUAUGGUAUGAUCCUACAUUAGGGCAUAGCCACCUCAGAGAGUUUUUUUAUUGGGUAUGCAGCCAUUCUGCUUGAUACAUCACAUUGGGGCACACCUUUCUUGGUCAAGGGUUUAUUUUUUAGAUGACCAUUAUGUCGAGGCAUACUCCUCUCAGUCGAUGACGGAUUUAUAGUCAUGGCCAUCUCUUGGAGGAUAUCAGAUGCCAUUUUUUUUUUCACAUUGGAGCAUGAGACAUGAUUGGUAGAUUUCAUUUGGUGUACCUUACUAAGGGGCAUACCCCUCUCAGUCGAUGAUAGUUUUUGUGGCAUAGCUGUUCCUUGGAGGUGAUUAGAUUCCUUUCACAUUAGAGUAUGAGAUAUGACUGGGUGAUUUCCUUGGUUUGAUAACAGGAAUAUAGUUUUCUCGUCAUUGUUGAUAGAUUUUUGGGAUGAUUGGAUCAGGACACAGACACUUGUGAGAGCAUGCAAUGGAGUUUAGUCAUUUCAGAGAUUGCCUUAUAUUGGGGCAUAACCCUUUCAUUGGUGAUUGAUAUUAAAGAUACUAGCUUACAUCUGGGCAUGAUCAUGUCAGAGUGCAUUUUUUUUUAGGCAUACCACUUUGCUUGAUCUUUUUCACAUUAGGACAUGAUCUUUCUUUAGAUGAGGUCAGAUAUUCUUUUCACGUUACCACGAUGACUUUGAGCACUAUAGAUUCAUUUUGAUUAGAUGUUGUAUGAUUAGUUGUACUCCUUUCAUCGAUGUUUGUUUUGGAGAUGCUUACACUGGGGCAUAACCCACUCAUUGGUGAUAGAUUUUGUGAGAUGAUAAUUUAUGCCAGACACAUACUUUCCAAAGAUCAUCUUGUACUGAGGGUUUACCCAUUUUGAGAGGAUGCAUUCAUAUUGGGGCAUAGCCACCUUACUGAUUUUGACAUUGAGACUCCACCUCUUGUUAUGAUUGUUGCUUUUGAUGGAUCAUUGAGUUAUUGACACCUUGGGUUCAGUCUUCUCAACAUACUUGGUUCGACUUGGAUACCCAAUUUCCUUUGUUGCACACCCAUACAUCCUAUAUUUGACACCAUUAUAUCUGCAUCUAUCUUAUCAGAUCCUUACACAUUUUGAGCCCUCAUAUUCCAUCAUCUUACAUGACCUUAUCCUUUUCUCUUGAUCAUAGGAGGAUACAGACUAGUCUUGAGCUUUCUAGUUGACUUUUCACAUGCCUUUGGACCUUAGGUUCAACAUCUUCCAUGAUGGUAGGGCCUGGCAGAUUGUUGAUAUAUUUGUGGUGAUGUUUUCAUGUUGACAGUUGACAUGUUGUGUCUUGACUUGCUUACACUUUAGACUUAGAGUCUUGGUCAAUUUUUGUUUGGUCCCUAGUUUUAGUUUUGCUUUGUCAGCAUAGUUUCAGUGUUGCAUUGGUAUUGUUUAAGCAUUUAUUAAUUGAUGUUAGAAUUUUUCAUUGCAUCAUCAUUGAGCAUAUUCUAGAGUGUCUUGUAUGGUGACAUUCUGUUGUCUUAUGUUGGUUACUAUCUUACAUUGGGGCAUACCCCCAUCCUUGAGUUCAUUAGAUCUUUCGUAGGUUUUUUCAUUACUUGAUCUAUUUCUUGAUCUUUGUGAGUCAUCAUACUGGGGCAUACCCCCUUUAGCACUCUUCUACUAGGGCAUAUGCCCUCUCUUGGUUCAUCAUAUCUCAUGUUGAUUUCAUGGUCAUUUGACCCAUUUACUGAUACUUCCGAGCCUUUUACUAGGGCAAACCCCCUUUUCAUUGAGUUCAUUAUCCCAGUCAUUUCUUUAGGGUUUUUUUUGGGCAUUUCUAGUUGUAGAUGACAUUCUUUGUUUCUUGUUUUUGCUUUAGGUGUUUUCGUUUGCAGAUCGCAUACUUCUUCCUUUUCUGUUAGUUUGUUUAGGGGCAUUCCUCUAUUGUCAAUUUGUAUAGGGCAUCCUCUUUCUUUCAGCUUAUUUAGGGCAUCCCUCUACCAUUAGUUUGUUUGGGGCAUCCCCAUUUCUUCUAGUUUGUUUAAGUCAUUUCCCAUUUUUUUCAGUUUAUUUAGGGCAUCCACUUUUCUUCAAUUUGUUUAGGGCAUCCUAUUUUUUUCAAUUUUCACCACCAUAGAUCGGACAUCUAUGGACAUUUCAGUUAUCUCACCACCAUAGAUCAAACAUCUAUAGGCAUUUCAGAUUCACCACCAUAGAUUUUCAUCUAUGGGCCUUGAUUAGUUUUCACCACCAUGGAUAGGACAUCUAUGGGAAUUUCAGUUUCCAUCACCAUAGAUUAGAAAUCUAUGUGCAUUUUAAGUUCACCAUCAUAGAUCUUCAUUUAUGAGCAUUUGUUUCAGUUAUCUCACCACUAUAGAUCAGACAUCUAUGGGCAUUUCAAUUAUCUCACCAUCAUAAAUCUUCAUCUAUGAGCAUUUGUUUCAGUUCUCUCACCACCAUAGAUCAGAUAUCUAUGGGCAUUCUAGAUUCACCAACAUAGAUUUUAAUCUAUGGGCCUUGAUCAGUUUUCACCACCAUGGACAAGACAUCUGAUAAAACAAAGGCUAUGAAUAAAUAAGGAAAAUACCCAAAAGGGGGGGGGGGGUGAAUUGGGUUUUUCAAAAUCUUUUUCCACACAAUAAUAUAUGCACAAAAUAAAUAAAGGAAAGAGAUAAAGUUAGAGAAUUCAAACUCAGAUUUAUAGUGGUUUGGCACUCCCUUGCCUACGUCCACUCUCCUCAAUCUCCUAACCGAGUGAGGGUUCCACUAACUUGAAGCUUCAAUCAAGCUCUCAAACGUCUUACACUUGGAUUCCGGCUCCAAUGGGCUCUUACACAAUCUCUUCAAGAUUUGAACCACUUGAAGGCUUUCACACUCAGUUUACACAAGGAUGAAACUCUCAACCUAGCUUAAGGAAGGCUCAAGUACACGAGAAAGCUAGGAUGAAUUGCAAGAGUGCACUAAGAAUAUGCAAGUGAUGGUUUAAUGCACUAAGAAAGAAGAUGAGAGCUUUUUAGAUCAAGAACAGGUAGGUAGGCUUUGAAUGCAAUUGUUCUCUUAGUCAUAAAUGAAGAGGAGCUCUCAAUUUAUAGGUUUCUAAGCUCGGGAGACAAAAACAGCAGAAAGUAGCCUCAACCGAACGAGCAAAGGGUCGACCGGAUCACUAGCCGUUGGAGCAUUUAAUGCAUAGCAGGUUACCGUUGCAUCGACCGGACUUCGACCGGACCUCGACCGGACAAGGGGUGAGGCUCGACCUGGAAGAGGAAGCUACUGGGAGAGAGAGAAGGUUUUUAUGCCUCCCUCGACCGGACCUCGACCGGACAAGGGAAACCGGUCGACCGGUUCCCCAACCGGUCGACCGGUUCCCCAACCGGUUGAGCCGGUUGGCCAUAGCCUCGACCGGAUGAGCCUUUUGGCCCUGAAAACCUAUCCUUUUUUAUUUCUUUCUUUUCCAAUACUUAGGCAAGGUCUUUAGGAGAGUUAAUAUGUCAAUUUUGAGUCAAUUUGCCUAAGGUAUAUUUGAUAAAACUCGGGUUUUAAAGAAAAUCAAGUUUUAAAGAAUAAACUGAGUUUUAUAAGAUGCAUGAAAAUAUAUGAACAUCCUAAGUGCACUCAUGCUAUCAUCUUACAUUCAUUUCCUAUGAUCACAAGUCUUCCAAAUGGUCUUUAUCCCGUAUUCGUUUGGUCCUUGAGAUUAUACCUGAGAUUCUUAACAAUUUAAAACAAUUAGUCACUUAACCACGGUUUGUUAUCAUCAAAACCUGAUUAGGAGAACCCUUGGGCUAACAACAUCCAUGGGAAUUUUAGUUUCCAUCACCAUAGAUCAGACAUCUAUGGGCAUUUUGGUUUUCACCACCAUAGAUUAGACACUUAUAGGCAUUUCAGAUUCACUACCAUAGAUUUUCAUCUAUGGGCAUUUAAGUUUUCACCACCAUAGAUUAUCAUUUAUGGGCCUCGAUCAGUUCUCACCACCAUAGAUUUAUCAUCUAUAGGCCUUGAUCAAUUUUCACCACCAUAGAUUGUGUAUCUAUGGGCAUUUGUUACAAUUAUCUCACCAUCUUAGAUUUUCAUCUAUGAGCAUUUGUUUCAGUUAUCUUACCACCAUAGAUUGGAUAUCUAUGGGGCAUUUCAGUUGAUUCACCACCAUAGAUUUUCAUGCUUGGGCCUUUGAGAUUAUUACCACCACAGAUUUUUAUCUGUGCGCCUUUGAGAGUUUCACCACCAUAGAUUGGCAUCUAUGGGCAUUCCUGUUGUAUCACCACCGUAGGUCUUCACCUAUGGGCCUUCUAGUUUAGCAUUUAGAGUUAGCCUUUUGGUUUGACUUCCAGAGCCAUUCUUUUCUUAGUUUAGCGUUUAGAGUCAGUUUUGUCAUUCAAAGCCAUAGUUCAUGAUAUUCAUGAUCACUAGCAUUACAUGCUUUGUUCUCAUAGUUUCACAUUUCAUCUUACUUCUCUUUGUUGCAUAUGUGUUUCUCACUUCAUUGUGAUAUUCUAGAAUUUCUUCUCAUUUUUUGUGCAGGAUAUAGCUCUAUGAGCUCAAAGUAUGUGUCUUGAUUGUUUUGUUAGAUACUUUAUGCCUUGUGUCUUCGUAUGGUACACGUAUGUUUUUUCUCCUUGUACUCAUUCCUAUGUUUUUUGGUGGUUUGACUACUACUCAACUUCCAUAUUGAUUUUCGAGUCACUAUUGUAGACUUUUAAGGGGUAGUCUGGGUUCAUAGUGCAACUCUAGAGGCAUUUUGAGAGCUAUCCUUCUCUUAGGAUUUUAGAGCCCUUUUUGUUCUUUGUUGGUUUGAAUGAGUUUGUGUUUUACUUGUUUACCUUUAGGGGUCUUUCUUUUUCUUUGGUAAAGUUCACUUCAUUCCACUCACUAUUCACACUUUCUUUUCACUCCAAUGUUCAUAUUCCUUACACUCAUGAACUCCACUAAAGAGGGGCAUAUUUAUAGACCCCUUCUUUUUGCAAACCAACUUUAGUGUUUAUUAUUAUUGCUUUUAUUAAUAACACCAAAGGGUAUUUUAUAUCACCCCGGAGAGGAGUUGAAGAUAUUUUGUUCGAAGUGGAGGACAACUUCCAUGAAGCAAUGGAGCAGAGGAGUAGUUGGGGAGGGGGAUGAUUGAAAGGAGAUAGUAGGAAAUGGUGAUUUGAGCAGAAGCAGGGAGCAUGAGAAGAUUGCAUGAAAAGAAAGAGCACAGGAGGUUGAAAAAAUGGGGGGAAGACAACUUGGAAGAAAAAUAAAGCGAAGGAAAGAGAAAAGAGGGGUUUUUUCUUUUUAGAGGAGGUGAUAUCUAGAGAGAAAAAGGAGGAAGUGGGAUAAGGAUUUUUAGUUCCGGAUGAGAAGAGGUCGGAAAGGGAGUAGCAGCAUAGGUAUGUUUUCGAGAACCUGCUCGUUUUUUUUUUUUUUCACAUGGUUAUAUUAUUUUUACGCAUAUUAGGAUUCUAUUUUGGUGCCUGAAUAGGAGCAUUGUAAACUUUUGCAUAUUCUUGUGGGAUUUGAGUUUUUUUGCAUGCAUUUUUAUGCUUGAUUUCUAAUCUGUUUUUGCGGCCUCGUUUCGGGAUCCUAUAUGAAAUGCUUGGAAGAUCUCCAUUUGAAACCCUUAUGAACUUCAUUCUACUCACUCCCAAGCUGGCACCAUACCCAUUACCUAACCCACCUAGCCAUCAACACCCAUCCACCUUCAUCCUUCCCAACCUGUCAGUCAUUUGGGUAGCCCGCACACCCACCUACCAUUUCUCCAACCUUAACCUCCUUUCUUCUGCCCUUAGCUGUCUUUCUCUUAUUUCCAGACCAUAUGAAUCCAUAUUAUCCAUCUUCAUCUUCCUAUAUUUUUUUUCUCUCAAGCUCUUUCUCUUAACUUCGCAUGGCAGUAACAAAAGCUCUCAUUCCCAUCAACUCAUUUUUUUUUCCCAUCAUUGCCAUUCCAUCACUCGAGCUUUGUACCUCCAUCCACCAUUUUCUAAAAUUCAGUUGCAACAACUAGACAACCUAGGUGGUACCAGAAGCGAAAUAUAGAAGAAAGAGAAGAGCAGCCUAAACCAAACAACAAUUCUUUUCCCCAACUACCUUGUCAGAGUUGUCUUUAGUUUUGAAGCUAUUGUUUCAAUCUCGAGCGCUUCUCUCUACACUUCCGACAAUAGCCAACACACCAUCCUCUUUGACCUUUCUUGCGAAGUGAUCGAUGACGCCAUUGAGAAGAACUCCAACUUGAUCAACAGAUUUCUUCGGAAUGGGUUGAGCUGCAUUCGUGAGAAGUUUGGUUCAAAACUUGCACUUUAGGCCUUGAAAGCUCCAUUUCUGGUUCUGUAAUUCUCGGCGUAACUGGAAAAGUGAAGUACUUUGAUGUAAGGGUGCUUAGGCAGGACCCACUUGAAUGUUUGAUUCAGUUUUUUGUGUUCAUCGAAUAAUAAUAUUGGGAAGAUUAAUAAAAUGGUGAAUUUUGUUUCAUCAUUGGAAAAUUAUCUGGGAGUGUUGGGGCUUUUGAUUUUAAUGAGUUCUCAUAUCUGGAUCGGUCAUCCAUGGUUUUAGAGGAAGAUUUUAGAGUAGUUUGCUUCUCUUCGUGAAAUGGACCUUCAAGAGGUGGUUGAUGCCCUUUCCACUCUACCUAGUGUUGGUCCUAAGGUGGUAGCAUGCAUUGCUCUUUUCACUAGAUCAACAUCAUGCCAUUCCUGUUGACACACAUGUGUGGUAGGGAUUGCAAUUACCAAGUGAAACUACUUCAGGUUUGACUGUGAGAAAUAGUUUGACCAUGCUAGCUCCAAAGAAGUUGGUUCAGCCAUCAUCCAAUAGUUCGCAACCUAACCACUCAUCCCGGGCCCACGCUCAUGCAUGGCCACCUUGGCAUGCAACUCCUCCCAUAUUUUAUCUUUUAUCUUUUUUUUUUUUUUUUAAUUCUUCAUAUUUUAAUACCAAAGUUUAAUUUUUUGAAAUUUCCAAUUCUUAAAAUCAAUUUUCAAAACUCCAAACUCAAAUAAUCUCAAAAAUUCCAAUUCUUAAAUUUAAUUUUCAAAACUCUAAUUUCCAUUUGAACUCCAAUUUUCAUUUAAUUUCCAAAAUUCAAAUUCUUAAAUUUAAUUUUUAAAACUCUAAACUCAAAUAAUUUCCAAAAUUCCAAUUCUUAAAUUUAAUUUUCAAAACUCCAAAUUUCAUUUAAUUUCCAAAACUCCAAUUCUUAAAUUUAAUUUUCAAAACUCCAAUUCUCAAAUAAUUUUCAAAAUUCCAAUUUCUUUCAAAUUUAAUUUUCAAGAUUCCAAUUCUCAAAAUUUCCAUUUUCAAAUAAUUUUCCAAAAUUCCAAGUUUCAAAUUUAAUUUUCAAAACUCUAGUUUUCUUUCAAAUAAUUUUAAUUCCACCCCAAUUUUUCAAAUAUUUUUUAAUUCAACAACUUUUUAUCCUUUAUUAGAGUUUUAGGUCGCCAAAAAUCCUAAUUUUAAUAAAUUUGCUGCCAUUCUCAUUUUGGCAUGCACUUGUACAAACUUUUUUCGAUUUUCAAAUGAUUUUCUGUUUCUCUUGAUUUUAAAUAAGUAAGAAUGAUUUUUUUCAUAAUUUCAAAAUAAUGGAAUUUGUGAGAUUAAUUCAUGCAAAAUCAAUUGGGUUUUGGUGGGGGCCCCAUCAUAUGAGUUUUCUGUUUUGAUUGUUAACUGUCAUGCUUAAUGAAUAUUGCUUGAUUUUUAUCCUGAUCUUUGCUAUGCAUGUGGUAUAUUUUGUAUUCAUUAUUGUGCACUAACUCUGUUUUAUGAUAGUUCUUUAUUACCUGUUGCUAAGGUAUGCUCUUACUCUCACUUUGUUUAUUUAUUCGUCAUCAUGACUUGUUGUUGAUGUAUGAUCAUUUCGGUAUCCAUUGAUCUCCUAAUUAAUUGUCAUGUUUGCUACACCUUAUUUAGUAGAGACCAAUUUUUAGGGGCUUAGAGGGGUGCUACGGUUUUUACUGUACCUUCCUAAUAAGUAAUCUGAUCCUUGAACUUAGACUCGGUUUUUCAUAGACCUGUCUUUUCCAAAUAAAGAGUCACACUUAGAGUUUUCUUUCUUAUUUUGUUUUUCCGUUUAAAAUAAAAAUAAAAUAAGUGAUGAAUCCAAAGUUUUUUUUUUUCUAAAAAUCAAUUUUUUCACCAAAUAAAAAAAAAAAAGAGUUUCGCCAUCGAGUGAGAACGCAUCAAGUAAAAUGUGGGAUCCACAACAUCACAAUAGGUGUCCUACGAUUGCAUUGCAUGAGAAAGGGCACCGUAAGUAGCUUGCGGAGGAGCUAAGAUAUGCCCCAUCUUACUAAUAAUAACGAAGGGCUGAAGAACAUACUCUCUUUUGGGUAGACCUUCCCUUCAAAGGGGAACCAAUUCCUUAGUGGCUUGCUAGUUGGCCAAGGCUAUCCUUAGUGCUGGACAGUUUCACCACUUCGUUAAAAGUAUGCCUUCCUAAAGCUGCCAUUGGGGAAAUAUAUAUAUAUUUUCAAAUGAAAAAGUUUCGUGCUUAAAAUUUGAAAACGCGUCAAAGUGUAAAACACUUCAUUAAAAGUGUUGGAUUUUGAAUAUAAUAAAGCAAAGUGUAAAACAUGCACCGAGAGUAAAAGUAUAUUUAAUCUUAUUUUUAAUAAAUAUUUUAUGCACAGUAAUUGAUCUUUAAUACAUCAUAUUGCACUAUUUAUCUCAAAUAUUUGAAAAUAAUUUUUAAUACAAAGACAAAUAUAUACUUUUUAUACAUCAAGUUCUAUCUUAUUUAUUUAUUUUUUAUUUUUUAUUUAUUGCAUAAAACUAAGAAAAAAAAAAGGAAGGGAAAUGUAUCUCAAAGGAAACUAAAUUAUUGAAUUCGUCCAUAAUAAUUUAUUUUCAGUUCCACACAGAUACUAUGGAAGCUGAAACAGAUUGUGGCCAGCAAUGUCUUUCGAAUGCUUUAAACAAUCGCCGACCAUCCAAGUGGCUGGCAUAAUUGAAGCAUGCGGGCAAAGCAUUAUUUCAUUUGAUAAAGAAGCUAGGCCCCGCACAACUGCCUCUCCCAGAAUAUCUCGGAUGAUUUGUCUUUUUAUAGGCCAUGUUUUCAAAAACGUGUCUAAAUUAAUUAAUUAUUUUUUAAUAUUUUAAAAAAUAUUUUUAAAUUUAUUUUUUUAAAAUUAAGAACUCAAAUAUAAAAAAUAAUUUUUUUACUUAUUGAAAUGAUUAUAUUUAUGUAUAAUGUAAAUUUUUUUAAAAUAUUAUUCAUAUUUUCGAUUAUCUUUUGGAAUAUUUAAAAAAAAAUUAAAAUACCUCAAAUUUAUUCUGAAAAAUGAUAUGGUUUUUGAAUAAAUUCUCAAAAUCAUAUUUUCAAUAAAAAAAAAAGAUAAAUAUCAUAGUGUUAAAAACUGGAUCGGAUUUGGCCGGUCUAACUGUUGACUAGAUCCAAAUCCGGUCCAGGUCAACAUUUGAGUCGGAAUGGUUAUGAAUCGCCAUCGAAUCGAAUGACCGUUGAACAACUAAAAGAAAUAGAUUCUUCCCAAAAUUUUUAUAAUAAUAAAAAUGAAAACAAUUUGAAGUAAAAUAAUAUAAUUUUUUUUAAAAACUAUAAAAUAAUUAAUAUAUGUAACUUUUAAUAUAUAUAUAUAUAUAUAUAUAUAUAUAUAUAGAUAUAUAAAUUAAAUAACUUUCAAUAAAUAACUUCAUAUUUAAAUAUUAUAUAUAUAUUUUAUUUAGUAAAAUAUUAAAAUAUUAAUACAUCUAUAGUAUAUACUAAUUUGAUAAUAAUGAACAAAUAAAUAUUAUUAAUUUUUUAUUUCCUUAAGUAUUUAAAUUUUUAUAAAAAUUUUAAAUUUUAAUAAUAUGUAAAUUAUAUAUUUAUGAUGUCACUGAUACGAGAAUUGUGAAUAAAUAUGUUAUUUAAGUUAGAAAAAUUGCAUUUCAAGAACCGUAAGAAGAAACUCUUUCUAUCUCCUUCUCCUUUGUUUUCAACCUUCUUCAUCAUCUUCUUCUUAUUAUUAUUAUUAUAAUUUAAGAAAAAUAUUUCUUUAAAAUGAUGAAAAAGUUUCACGCUUAAAAUUUGAAGACGAAGAUGACCACAAUUCAUUCACAAAGAAUACGGUAGCUAAGGUUGAAAAUUGUACUAUAAUGGAUAUGAAGCAACUGACCCAACCAUCAUCUAGCACACAAAAUACAUAUAUCGGUACGAUUUCUCUAAUAGACUUGCUACAACCACUCAAUGGAAGAGCAGUCAGGACCCACACCUAGUAGCAUUCCAUGUUUCUUGCAGCAAGGCAUUUAGGAUUAAUUAGUACCCCAAUUGAACCUUAGCCGCUUAGAAACGCCUAAGUUGGCUAAUUGUGAAGGGAAGCAUAACUAUUGAUCAAACCCAAGGCGUUGCUAGUCAUAUGCGCCAUGUUAACUAUGCGAGCCCUCACGGUGGUCUUUAGAUUCCCAUUCAUGGCGUUUCCGGCGAACCCAUCAGUGCACGUGUCCUCAUCCGUCAAGGCAGUACUAACCCAUGUUUGUAUGUCAUCCAUCAUGAGCCCAAAAUUGGAGCCUUUUAUUUGGGUCAUCUCCCCCAUUGCUCUUCGAAGCUGAUCUACUGAGUCGCUCAACUCUUCCACACAGUCGUGCAUGGCUGCAACUUCUCUAGGCUUUAGGCCAUGACUUUGCACCAUCUUUGACAUCAGGGAUGAUGUAGAUCGUGCGGUUGAAAGGGUCACAGCAAGGGCUGUGUCUGCUAGAAGCUUUGGGCUGGUUUGGAUUACACUGGCAUGAGCUGAGAGGGAGGUGUAGCAAAGUCUGGGAUAAGUGGUUGUACCACAAGAUGUUCGGAUGAACUCGGUGCUGGCUUUAUCAGCAGCAGGCCUGGCUGCUGAGCUUAAGUUUAUGUAGGAAGUAAGGGAAAGAAAAAUGAGAAGAGCUGGAAGGAAAUGGCUAGAAAAAAAUGAGCCUUCCAUAUCUCUCCUAGUUACUUGCAGAGAAACUUGGAGGUUAGGGAUGAGACUAGGGAAUAGAAGGGUAGUCCUUUUAUAGACGAAUUGGAAAACUUCUAAUGUGGGUUAAGUUAUAAAAAUUAAAGGAGCCAACUCCACAGCAUGACCUAUAUUUCUCAUACACCACUACUUGUUAUAGGUCCCACGAUAAUUCAACUUGUCCAGAGGUCACAAUAGAUGAGUUAAAUAUUAAUAGUAACAGCUGAAGUUCAUGGUUUCCCUUAAUCCAGAAUGUUAGGACUAAUACUUGACUCAUAAGUGGUCAAUCCGUACUUCUUUGUCCCUAACUAGCACGAUAUAUGGGGUUAUGUUAAUCGUUACCCUUCAGCAUGAUUUCAGUGAUCAAAUUCUGAGUUUAUAAGCCUAUCGUUCACCUUAACAUGGUCAAUCCCAAAAUGAAAGUUGACCCCUUCGGUGGAAAGCUCUCAUGGUUCCUGGUAUGAUUUUCCUUAGGUUAUAACUGCAAGCGUGUGUAUAUAUAUAUACCUUCUAAAUAGUAAUUUCCUUAAAAUGGUUUCUAAGCUAUAAAAACUAGUUACUAAUUAAUCUCAGUUAGAUUGAAGUUGUUAGUAUACAUACAUCAAAAACAGUUGGUGAGGUCGACAAGAAAAGGAGGAUAUCAAUAUCUAGAAUUCUAUGAUUCUCAGCUUUCUUUUUCAGAGCAUACAGCCAUGGAACUAUGAUCAACUUGGUGUCACCCACUGGCCCACUGCAGUGCCCAUAUCUCAAUCCGGCUUAUAACUGGCCUAAAUUUUUAGUUUAAAAAAUCAAAUUAAAGGGUAUCCACGACCACAAAAAAAAAAAAAAAAAAAAGACUAAGAGAAGAUAAUGGGUUGCCGUGUAAGAGAUCCUUGGUAGAGGUAGACCACGAAGCAUGUAACAUUUCGAGAGGAAGCUGUGUAUUUGGAUGGCAAACAAAGGAAGAAGGGUUGGGUAAAACUUUGCGCAUGCCCAGAUUCCUUUGAGAUAAAGGGUAAUUUUUUGUUUUUGUUUUUAGAAAGUAAAAUAAUACAUAAUACAAUUAAAUUUAAUAUUUAUUCUUUUAAAAGAAAUUGAAAUAAUAGAAAUUAUAAAUAUUAUGAAAUUUUAAAUCGAGUUUGGGUUUGACUUGGAUUGCUCAAAUCCUUAACUUAUUUCCAAACUGAAUUGAUUUUGGACUCAAAAAGUCAAAUUAAGUAUUUAAAAUAUUUGUUUGGGUCAAAUUAAGUGUACUCAUCCAAGUUGCACUCCCAAUCCUGAUUGCAUCAAUGGAGUAGUCUUUUGGUGCAUGUUCCUUUUGUCUUGAGUUUUAAUCAAUAAACCAAAAGAAGUAGCAUCCUGUCUUACAAAUUAGGAAUGAACUUGAUCCAUAUUCACUCAUCAGUUCAACAUCAUUAGGAAAUUGUGUAGAGUCCCUCUAGCAUAUGUUGUGUCAUACCAUUUAAUAAACCACCAAUGUGGUAGUAUCCGACACAAAGAUAAAUUGAAAGAGGUCUUUAGAGUGUUAUGAAGCAAUAUCUAAUCAAUGCAUUGCCAAAAAUAUUUGACUUUUUUUAUUCAACCAAAAAACAAACACCACCUUCCUUUUUUCUUUUUUUCUUUUUUUAAAUUGGUUAUCAACCUAUACAAUGGUAUGAUCAUUGAAAAGAACCACCAAAUGAUUUAUUAUUUAGACCAAUUGAUGCUCGAAAUAGAAAAAUAUCAUUUUUCUUUUACUACCACGUGUCAAAGAUAGAUUUUCUUAAUAAUUUUUUUAAUAUAUAUAUAUACUCUUCCUCAAUCAAUUUCCUCAUAUUUUGAUACUUAAUUCAAAGAAUUAACUAGGUGGGAUAUCUUAUAAACAACUAUUUGAUUUACAAAUUUAUUAGUGAAUUUUCUUUUCCUUUGUCCAUAAUUUUCCUCGUUUAGAAUUUUUCACAUAAAUUUGUAUAUUCUUAUUCUGCUUUUUAUUUUUAUUUUUAUUUUUUUAUUGUUUAUUCUCAUUAUUGUGUAACAAUAACUAAUAUAUAUAUAUAUAUACUUAAUUCAAAGAAUUAACUAAGUGGGAUAUCUUAUAAACAACUAUUUGUUUUACAAAUUUUUUUAAUGAAUUUUCUUUUCCUUUGCCUAUGAUUUUCCUGUUUAGGAUUUUUCAUAUAAAUUUGUGUAUUCUUAUUUUAUUUUAUUUAUUUAUUUAUUACUUAUUCUCGUUAUUGUGUAACAAUAACUAAUAUUAUGUUAUAUAAACGGUAAAAUAGUAAUCAACAUAAAAAAAAACUAAUAUUUUGAACUAAUAUUUUUAUUUUAGCUCUAAAAAUUUUUCUCUCCUAAAGGACCUAUAAAAGUUAAAUAAAUAAUAUUAUUUUUAAUAAAUAUUUCAUCUGUGGCAAUUGAUUUUUAACAAGUCAUUUUCCAUUACUUACAAUUCUUUUCCAAAAUUAUUGAAUUUGCUCCAUGAUAACUUAUUUCAUUUACAUACAGAUAUCAUGAAGUAGAAGCAGAGUGUCGGCCAGCAAUGCUUUUGGAUUUUUUUUCCUCCCAAUGGUGAGAAAAUGACAACCUCCUAAGAACCCUUUCCUUUGGGGAAGUGAUACCAAGUAAGCACUCUGAAAGGAACAUACACCACCCUUGCGAGUGAUAUAUUGACAUAAGUGAUUUAUAUAGGCGAUGUGUCACUUUCUUUUGUUAAAGAAAUUAGGCCCCCCUCAACUAUCUCUCAUAAAAGAACUAGAAUGCCUAUUUGGCAAUGCUUAGAAAACGAUUAUAACAAAUUAUUUUUUAACAAUAUAUUUUAAAAAUAAUUUUUAAUUAUUUUCAAGAAUAAAAUUCUGUUUGAGAACACAAAUAUGAAAAAUAGUUCUUUCAAUUUAUUCUCCAAAAAAAAUAUUAUACAAAGAAUUUUUCAUAUUUUCAUUUGUUUUUCAAAAUUUAAUAAAAUCAUUUUAUUAAGAGAAAUUAGAAAGAAACUAGUCACUUUCGGUGGACAAUGUGGAAGUUUAUAGAUUUAGUUUAGAUAACAUGUAAAGGAGGUUAAUAGGUGUUUCUUUUAUCCCAAAAAAUGAUUAUUUUUAAUCCUUUAACUAACUCCUUUUAGUUUAUGAAAGCUUAAAGAUAUUUAACACAAGAAACAUGAUUUUUUUUAUGUAGAAAACCAUCCAUAUGACGUUUGAAUGUAAAAAUCACAGAGUCAAAGACCUCUAAUUGCAAAUCCACUAAUCAAAAGUACAACACAAAUUUAUCUUGUAAAAACUAUUCUUAAGUUUUACUCUUUAGCACUUAUAUUGAACUUUACAUCUAUGAUGCAACACCAUAUGUGCUCCCAAUGGAUCUCACCUCAACACCAUGAGAUUGAUUGUUUAAAUACUCCAUUCAGUAUUAUUGCUACUACACAACUCUAACAUUUAUUAGAAGGUGUACAAACUAGAGACCCCUGCAUGUGGGAAGGACACUAGGCAUACACCGGUUGUUAUAGAUGCACAAUUGAUUGACAUUAGUGCACCACCUUAUUAGGAACUGAUAUCAUCCACUGCUCGACCUUUAUAGGAUGGGACUCCAUCUAGUGUUGUUGCUACUUCAUAGCUUCAACCUCGAUUGAAAUGUGUAUGAACUAGAUGAAGUAAGGCUCAUGGGAGGGAGACUAGGCAUACACCUAUUUUUAGAGAUGCAUUAUUGACUAGCAUUACCUCACCACUUGUGGAGGAGACUCUUAUUACACUUACGGAGGUGCCAUUGACCCUAUUUGUAGUACCACUUGUUGUAUCAUCACCAUAACCAUUAGAGGCCACAUUGGUUGAUAAGGAGUUAGUUCCUACAACAAAUGAUGAUAAACAAGGACAAGUGGAUUAUCAUGGUCGAGCACAUGGUAGGAGACGUGGUCAAGGACGUGGGGGAGCAUAUGUCAACCCCAUAGAGCUAAUGGUGGAACAUGCAUAUCAUCAAUAUCCACAAUGGAAGAAGAAGGCUCCUUUAUGUAGUACACAUUGAGGAUGUUACUAUAUAUGACUUGUAUUUUAGAUAUUGUUAAUAUUUUGCAUGUCAUUAUUUUGGACAAAUAGUCAAGACGUAUAUCUAUUAAUUGUUAUUUUUUGGAUUUAGUAAUUGUUCAUUAACAUAAGUUCUAUAGUAUUGUACAUAUUUUAGAAUUAUUUUAGACAAAACAGUAUUGCUACUAUUUUGGAAAGUGUCAACUUAAUUGACAUUUAGUUUACUCAUUUUGAUUGACAUGGAUUGAAAAGUUAAAAUAUUGAUUGUGAUGUAUUCAAAUGAUCAAAUUUAAACAUUUGGUUAUAUUUAGGAAAACUAAUUAAGAGAUAGAUUUUAAUAUUUUUUUUUUUUGAAGUUGUCUCUUUAUUGUAAAAUGAAGUUGUCUCUUUAAGAAAUAACUUUAGAUAAAUUUUGUUGUUGAAAAUUCAAUAUAUUUUUUUUUAAUGUACAAAUUUUGGAUUUUUUUUUUUUAAAAACUCAAGUUAUCUUCUCAAGUAACAACUUCUAUCAUAUUUUAAUUUUUUAAUACAAAUUUUUAUCUUCAUAUAAAAAAUAAAUUAAAAUCAAUUUUUUAAUUAAAUUUGAGUAAUUUAAAAUAAUAAAUCAUUUGUUUAACUUUAUUAAAUAAUAAAAUCAAUGUUUGAAAUGGUUAACUUUAAUAAACAAAUAAAAUAAAUUUCAAAUGGUUAACUUUAAUAACUUCAAUAACAUAAAUACCAUUUUUUAUGAAUAGUAAUUACACUUAGUAUGGAAAAUGUUUCUUCAAGAGAUACCUUCAAUAUAAAUUCAAUUUUUUUUUUCAAUAUGUGAUUGAUAUUCAAAUAGAAAGUGUUUUUUUUUAAAGACACCUUUAGUAUAAAAUUCAAUUUUGUGGAAUUGUAGAAGAUGUUUCUUCAAUAUAAAUUUAAUUUUUUUUUUCAAUGUCUAUUAUGAAAAUUGUGGAAUUGUUGGAGGUGUCUCUUCAAGAGACAUCAUUAAUAUAAAUUUAAUUUUGUAAAAUUAUAGAAGGUGUCUCUUGAAGAGACAUCUUUGGUAUAAAUUCAAUUUUUUUUUAAUGUGUGACUAAUAUGAAAAUUGUGGGAGAUGUCUUUUUAAGAGACACCUUUAAUAUAAAUUGAAUUUUGUGGAAUUGUGGAAGGUUUUUCUUGAAGAGACACCUUUAAUAUGUGUGUAUAUAUAUAUUGCAAUGUGUGACAAUAUGAAAAUUGUGGAAGGUGUUGUAGUUCCUCAAUAGUUCACAAGUACCCCUUGUGAAGAUUUUUUUUUUUUUUGUUGUAAUUAGUUGUAAAAAUUAAAAAGCCCUCCAACUGACACAUAAUUGAAUUAUAUAGGCAAAAUUUUAUUUUCUUUUGAUAAAGAAGCUACGUCCCUAAGGCACCCAACAACAAUCUCUCCUAGCAUGUUUGUUUUUUAAAACAGUUAUUAAAAAUUGAUUUUUAGGAAUAACUUUUAAUUACUUUAAAAAUAAAAUUUUGUUUAAGAACUAAAAUAUGAAUAAUGGUUUUUUUAAAUUUAAUUUUUAUGAAAAUAUUAUGUAUUUAUGUAUAAUACAAAAGUUUUUAUAUAUUUUUAUAUUUUCAAUUAUUUUUUAUAAUAUUUAGGAAAAAUACCUUAAAACAUCUUAAAUUCAUUUUAAAAAACACAUGUUUUGUAAACAAAUUCUAUUAGGGUAUUUUAUUUAGCUAACAAUUUUGUUCAUUUCUUACUAAUUCAAUACAACUUACUUCCUUAGGUUUUAUUUAUUUCAAGAUAACUUCAAACUUUAUCAAAUUCGGAUUCAGAUUAUUUGAAGUUGUAAGAUUAAGGUAAGUAUGUAUUUAUGGUUGAUAAAGCUUUUGGAUUGCCUAGUAUAAGAAAUUAGGAAGAUAAUAUUUCCUAUUUUCUAAUUGAUUUCUAAUAUACUUUUUUAAUUCCAACUCUUAAACUUUUAAGAUCUUUCUUGAGAGUAACUUUCAACUACAACAAAUUAAGGUCAAAGAUCUCAUAAUGAAACUUUGAUAAGGCCUUUGAAGGAUCUACUAAAGAGCAUAAAGUAUUAUGUCAGCACAUGGAAAUGAGUAUUACUGUUGAUGGUAUAAGACCCUAGAGAGUAUGUGCAUUCAAUCAAAUAAAACUAUAUAUCAUUUUAUUAUAUUUAGUGGAUUAUUCAACGGUCGAGAGACCACCCUUAGUUUUUUAUACCUAGUAGGUUAUUAGGUGUUUUUUCCAUUUUAAAUCUUGUGUUCAUUUGUGUGAUUGAAUUUAUUUUUAUCUAUAUGAGAUUUUUGCUCUCUCUAAAGAAUUAAGAUAAAGGGACAAACCUAAAAUAGGUAAUAAAUAUUAAUUUGAGGUCUAAUUUAAAGACUAGUUCCAUUAUACCAAGACUAGGUAUAAAAUUUCUUUCAAAUUGUUUUACAAAAAAGUUUAUUAAACAUAUGUGGACAUUAUUUUCAACAACUCUAGCAAACAAGUCCCUUUUAUCUCUUUCUCUUUCUUAUUUUUUAUAUUUUAUUUUUUUUUAACUUUUUUUAAUCAUCUAACUUUUGUUGUUAUUAUUAGAAAAUUUCCACACCUAAAACUCAUCAUUCAAAAUAAUGAGAAAUCAUUCAAUUUUAUCUUUAAAUUGAAAAUAAUUGUUUCCAACUUUUAAUCAUGGAAAGUAAUAAAUCAAAUUAAUAAUAUUACCAUUUUCUUACUAGACUAUUGUAGAGAGAAAUAAGAGAAAAUAAUAACUUUCAAUAGACAGUAUGUUGAUUAUAGUACUUGCUUGGGUCCUCUGCACAUGAUCAUUACAUCCUACUAUAAAGAGGGCUUAAACUAUUAGACAUUAAAGAUUGGGGGUUGACUCACAUAAAAAAGGAGCGGAGAAGCAGAAUUGUUUUGCAUUUUCUCUUGCCUCUACUGUACAUCUCCUUGGUAAGAUGUGAUUUGAAAGGAAUUGAAUUCAAAACAUUAGAUAUGCCAAUAAUUCGAGAUGGGGAUUGGUUGUGUGUGUUGAUUCCUCAUUUGCAUUAGUUUCUAUCUUAUGCUUGUAUUACUAUUGUUUAGGAUGGUUACAUGAGAUCAUCCAAUCUCAAUAUUACAUGCGAAAUGCAUCUCAUGAUUCAUGUUGUACGAAAUUGAUCUCCGUCGAGAACAAUUUUUUUCUUCCUAUGUUUGAGAUCUUGCUUUAUACUAUAUAGGUGUCACAUCACAAAACCCACUCUAAGGGCAUAACAAUCAUUUCACAUCUCAAACAUGAAGGCUCAAAGUGGAAACAACACAAACAUUUAUCUUGUAACUGGAUGGUUUCCAAUUACUAAAUUCUUGUUCAAAAUAGUAAAAUAAAUAAAUUCUAUAAUCUUCAAUUCUCAACUUUAGGAUUAACACAUCAACCAAAGUGUUAGUGUUCAAAUAACUCUAAACUCAAAUAAUUUCAAUGAGAAUUAAAUUUUAAUAUUUAAAAAAUGUCCAAAAUAAAAUUUGAACCAAAAUCCUAAUAAAAAAAAUUCCUUAGCUUAGCCAUCACUCCUCCUCCAAAUUGAGAGUACUUGAAAAUUUUUCAAUGAUGGGAAUGAACUUAAAGCCUAAUAAAGAACAUUAAUAUAAUGUCAUGAAUCAAACAUUUUUAAUUUUAAUUACAAAUAGGAGAUAUAACGUAUAAUCAUUUUCCUAAAAACUUUUGAGUUCAACAUGCUAAUACAUUCAAAACUUUUCAAUCAAACAUUUUCAUAUUUAUGUCAAAAUAAUUUCAUAUCAAAACCAAAUCAAAUACAUUCAAAAUAUGUUUACUCUGGUUAUUAAGUAACAAUGGAGCCCAAUUGGGUGAGACUUCACAAAUAAGUGACAAUCCUCAAAUUUGUCCAUUUUAAAAUGGAUGAAACCAAAGGUCAACAAUUAUAACCCGUUGACUAGAAUUGAAAAAGUAAAAAAUUAUAACUCGUUGACUAGUUUUAUAAAAAAUGAAGAAAUCGCAAAAUCUGCUGAAGAAUACUCUGUUUUCAUUAACUAGAAAAAAGGAAACAACAAGCAUAUAUAUGUAUUGGGGUUAGAGACGGAUUGCACCUUUAACUUGAUUCCAACUCACCAAGGAUAAUAGAAAAAGAAAAAAAAAACUUAUCUAACUAAUUUCUUACUCUUUUUUAUUUAUUUAUUUACAAAUAAGCCCUCAAAUUUAAUACUCCCCCUCAAAAUGGAGUGUGUGUAUAUAAUGAACACUUAUCUUGCUUAGUAGAAGAGUGAAUUGAGUUGGAAAGAUGAGCUUUGUCAACAAGUCUGUUAUUUGGUGUCGUGAAGCAAUGUGUAUAGUCUUCAAUGUUCCUUUUUGAAUUUUUUGCUCAUAUUAAAUGGCAAUCGAUCUCGAUGUGCUUAGUUCUUUCGUGAAAGACUUGAUUAACCACAAUGUGUAAGGUAGCUUCAUUACCACAAAACAAUAUUAUAGGUCCAACAUGAUUUACACCAAGAUCCUUAAGAAGAGAAAACAACCACACUAUCUUACAGGUUGCAUUUUCCAUUGAACGAUACUCAGCUUCAACUGAAGAUCUUAACACUAUGUGCCAUUUCUUGGAUUUCCAGGAAACCAAUGAGUCUCCAAGAAAACAUAAUAACCACUUAUUGAUUUUCUACCUUCAGGACAAGUACCCCAGUCAGCAUCUGCAAAAGCCUUUAGUUGCAAUGAAGUUGAAACAUGAUACAAAAGACCUUGGCUAACUGUGUUCUUUAUAUAUUACAAAACAUGAACAACAACUUGUAAGUGUGGUACCCUUAGUUUAGCUAAAAAUUUGCUCAAGCAAUUCACUACAUAAUAUAGGUUUGGUUUAGUAAUUGUCAAGUACAAUAACUUUUCAAUUAUACGCUUGUAUUACAAAGGAUCAUCAAGAAGUUCUCCAUCAUCUUGAGCAAGUUUAACAUUUACAUCCAUGAAGGUUUUGCAAGUCUUACACCCAAGAUGCCUUGUAUUUGACAAGAGUUGUAAAGCAUAUUGGCGUUGACAAAUAGAAAUUCCUUUAGAAGAUCUUGCCACCUCAAUGCCAAGAAAAUACUUCAAAUUUCCCAAAUCUUUCAACUUGAAUCAGUUGUUCAAAUAUGUUUUCAUAUUUUUAACCUACUCAAGACUAUUGCUUCCUAUAAUGAUGUUGUCAACAUACACUAAAAGAGCAAUGAAGCUUUGUCCUUUAGCCUUGGUGAAAAGAUGGUGAUCUACAUGAGAUUAUUUGAAACUAAUUUCAAAGAGAAUUGUAGAAAAUUUUGAAAACCACUGAUGUGGGGCUUGCUUUAACCCAUAGAUAGAUUUAUGCAGUCUACACACAAUGUUUCCAAGUAGAGAAAUCUCCCCCUCAUGGUGAUAUCCUGGUAGAAGUUCCAUAUACACUUCCUCUUGUAAAUCACUGUGCAAGAAAACAUUAUUUACAUCCAACUGUGUCAAACUCCAACCAUAAACAAUAGACAAAGAGAAAAGAACCUUAACCAUUACUAACUUUGCAACAUGAGAAAAUGUGUCCAAGUAGUUAAUACCUUCCUGUUGUGCAUACCUUUUGGCCAUUAAGUGGGCUUCGUAAUGCUCUAAACUACCAUUCGAUCGAUACUUAAUAUGAUACACCCAUUUGCAGCCAACAAGGUGCUUACUAACUGGAAGAGUAGUCAAUGUCCAUGUCCCAUUGCUUUCAAAAGUUUUCAACUCUACCAUCAUAGCCUCAUUCCAUUCAAGAAUCUUAGCAGCUUGUGAAUAAGUGGUUGGUUCAGAAUGAGAAGAAAUGGCAUAAAAAAAAAAAAACUUUGUGGUUAGAGGAAAGACGAUCAUAGCUAAGAACAUGGGAAAGUGGAUGAGCUGUGGGAACAUUAUUAUGGGACACAUAGUUGCAAUGGAAAUCCUUCAGAUAGGAAGAAGGUUUAAUGACUCGAGAGGACGAGAAGAUCUAAGAUUUUGUGAAGAUGGAGCAAUAAUAGUAGUGGUGAAAUCAACACUUAGAUCAAUAGAAUUGGAAAGAGGAGUGAUAAUUGGUAUACGACAUGGCAACACUUGAUCAUAAAAUAAGUCAAAAGAUUUGAUAACUUGUGGAAUAGAUGUGAAGGGAAAGACAGUCUCAUGAAACACGACAUCUUAUGAUAUGAAAACAAUAUUGGUACUAAGGUUUAACAGUUUGUAUCCCUUAUACCCAUGUGGAUACCCGAGAAAAACAACAGGCAAAGCUCUUAGGGAAAAUUUUGUUCGAUGAUGCUUAAGAGUAAAAGCAUAACACAAGUAGCCAAAGGUCUUCAAGUGACUAUAUGAUGGUUUCUUAAACCACAGAUGUUCAAAAGGGUUUUGUUAGAAAAAAUUGGAGAUGAUAAUCAAUUAAUUAGGUAUGCAGUAGUUAAGACACAAUCCCCCCCAGUAUUCUAAAGGCAUAUUUGACUAAAAUGCAAGGCUCUAACAACAUUUAACAAAUGUUGGUGCUUGUGUUCUAUCACAGAGUUUUGUUGUGGUGUGUCCACAUAAGAAUGAAAAGGAUGAAUGCCUUUGGAACCAAAAAAAUCUGUAAAGGCUAAUGCAGGGGCAUUAUUUGUUCUCACAUAUUUAAUUUUAGCACCAAGUUGUGUGUUUAUGAGAGUGUAAAAAUAAGGAAAGAUGCUCAGAACAUCGAAUUUUUGUUUCAACAAAUAGAUUUAAGUAAAACAAGUGCCAUCAUCCACAAUGGCAAACAAAUAACGAUGUCAUUCCACAAUUUACGGGGUAAAAGGACCUCAUAUAUCAUAAUGCAUAAGAUUAAAAAGACAAUCAAACAAAGAAUUUGCUGAAACAAAUGGUAAACGCUCUUGUUUAGCAAGUGGAAAAACAAUGCAAGGUAAAGAAUCACCAAAGAUUUCUGAAAUUUUUAAUUCAUUCUUCAAAAUUUGAAGUUUUACAUAAGAUGGAUGACCUAAACGAAAAUUCCAUAAGUCCUUUUGAGUCAAUUUGAUAUUAUUACAAACACUGGAGAAACAAGAAGAAAUUGAGAACAAGUUGUUUGGAUUCAAAAUGUAGAGAUUACCAACACGGUUACCCAUUCCAAUCGUCCUCCCCUGUGAGAGGUCCUAAAGAGUACAAGAAUCAGAAGAAAAAUUAAUGGAAAUGGAGUGUUGACAUGUAAGGAACUAACAGAAAGCAGAUUGAAACAAAAAUUGGGAAUGAACAAAACAUUAGCAAGAAUAAUGGUAUCCAUUAGUCGAACAUAUCCUAUACGUGAUAUGCUAACAAAAUGACCAUUUGGCAACAUAACAUAAGAAUUAAAAAUUGGUUUGGAAUUGAUGAAAAAAAUCUAAAACACAACAAACAUGAUGUGUUGCUCUAGUAUCCAACACCCAUGAACAAGGAGAAAUAGUUGAAGAGUUGUAGGUCAGAGAGAGAGAAAUAUUACCACUAAAGCUCGACACGAAUGAACUAAGCUGUGGAGUAUCCAUCGAGGUUUGAGAUCCGAUUUGAAGUUAUGAGAUCAAGAAUGUAAUGAGUUGUUUACACUGAUCACUAGUUAGAGUGUUCAGUGGUGAAUCCUAUGGAGAUGACGUAGAUCCAUCGAGUACAUUGGAUCUUGUUUGAUUUAUUUAGACCUUUGGUGGAUUCUAUUUUUGUGAUGUCCCACAUCAUAUAGGAGAGAAAGUUCCUGGCACUAUAUAUGUAGAGGAUCCUCUUAACCAAGUAGACGCGUUUUAAAGCCGUGAGGGCUCCUUUGGGCCCAAAGCAGACAAUAUCUACAUGGUUUGGUGCGGGUCAUUACUAAUGGUAUCAGAGCCAAUCUCCGACCCCGGUGUGGGGGUUUGUUUGGCCCCAUAAGGGGUGUUUGUCUGUUUGGCCCCACAAUCCCAUGGGACACAACGAGGACGUUGUGUCUACAUGAGGGGGGUAUUUGUGAUGUCCCACAUCGGAUAAGGGAGAAAGUUUCUGGCGCUAUAUAUGUAGAGGCUCCUCUUAACAAAGUAGACGCGUUUUAAAGCCGUGAGGGCCCCUUUGGGUCAAAAGCGGACAAUAUUUACAUGGUUGGGAGUGGGUCAUUACAAUUUUCCUUUAGUUUUAUAGCCUAAUGGGUAUCCGUGAAGCUUGUAACAUUUUUCAACGAUAUUUCCUUGAAUAUCACCAUGAGAGCACAAAGGUCUUUUUCAUUUUGAUUUUGAAUUGAAGGAAGCUGCAACAGUAGAAAUGCCAGAAUCACCCAAAAUCUAAGAAUCAUUGGAGAGUGACAAACGUUGAUUAACUGAAUGUUGCCUUUCUUCUUGAACAACCAGGGUAAAAACUUUGGUGAUUGGAAGCAAAAGGUCCAACAAAAUUUGACCAGAAGAAUAUGAGUCAUUAAGACCCAUUAAAAAUUGAAUAACACAUUCCUUUUGUUGAUACUCCAUCCAAUAUUUCAUCACUCCACAAUGACAUAUGGGAAUAGGUUGAAAUUCCUUCAGUUCAUCCCACAAAAUCUUGUGCCUAGUGUAAUAGGUGUUGACAUCAAGUGCACCCUGAUUCAAAGCCAUAAGAGCCUUUCUGACUUGAAAAAUCCGUGGUGCAUUGGUUUGAUGAAAAUGUUCUCUCAAGUUGUUCCAGAUCUAUGUCGUAGUAGAGAUGUAGAGAAGACUAUCAACUAUCUCCUGAGCCACCAAGUUCAAGAUCCAUGAAUUAACCACGCCAUUGCAUCAAUUCCAAGUUCCAUAGAGCAAAUCAUCAGUUGUAGGUUGAGGAAUACUACCGUCAAUGAAGUCCGUUUUGUUCUUGGCUAUGAGAGCCAUCAACAUCGCCCAACUCCAUGUGUUGUACUUGGGGCCAUGAAGAGGAUGGGAAACCAAAAUAAGCCUUGGACGGUCUCCAUUAUGGAGAAAAAAAUGGAUUGGAAAGAUCUUCCAUUAUAGAAAAGGUUGAGCUCAUAACAACCCGAUUAUUGUUUUAUCCUCUACGAGCCAUCAGGAAGAUUUAGAAAAAAAAAAAAACCCAAAUAGAGAAUAGUUGUAGUAGAGGAGAAUGCUUUGAUACCAUUUUACAAAAAUGAAGAAAUUGCAAAAUCUAUCGAAGAAUACUCUGUUUUCAUUAACCAAAAAAGGGGGAACAACAAGCCUAUAUAUAUUGGGGUUGGAGACCCAUUACACCUUCAAUCUAAUUCUAGCUCACCAAGGAUAACAAAAAAAAAAAAAAAAAGCCUUCAACUUUAAUAACUAGGGCUGAAAAUGUCAAUAAUUAUAGCUUGUUGACUAGGACCAUAUAAACUAGAGUCAAAUAUUUUAUUUCAUUAAUUCAAACUUACAAAACAAAACAUCAUGUCUCCACCAUUUUCAUUUUCUAUAAACAAAUAAAAAUGCUUAAACAUAUUUUUCAUGCAAUAUAUAUAUUUGAUUUAUGCAUAGAAAUGAAUAUAAAUUUUUUCAUAAUUCAAAAUAACAUAUAAAAAGAAAUAUAUCAUUUUACAAAAUUUGUAUUAAUUUCCAUUACCUUGAAGAAACACUCAAAAUCUUGAAGAAUUUUAUUUUGAAGAAUUUACCCCUCACCUAACAUAGUAUAAUACACAACUAUUACUAUGGAUUAUUUAUCUAAAUAUAUAAAUUUGGCAAUCUUAAAAAUAUUUUAUUUACUAUUAGUGAUCCUAAUUAAUUUACUAUGUUAACAUUAUUUAUCCUAAUAUUAUAAUUAACUUCCCAAAUAAUGAUAAUUUAAUUAAUGAGUUUCCAAAUUUUUAUAAAAGUUGGUUCCUUCCGAAAUCUAUUCCUAAUAGUUUAUUUCUCUUUCCUAAUUUAUUUAAAUUAAAACCCUUAAAAAUAUUUAUCUACAUAUUUUAUCGUUUUAUUAUUUUGAUUCAUUACCCUUAAGAAUAAGGGAGAAUUGGGUUUUAGACCCAUUUGGCUUUGACAAUUAAUAAAGAGUCCUUCAAACACCCAUAAUUGAUUUCAAGGAUAUGAGAUGGGAAUAGACAAAAAUACCCAUUUGACUUAUUUUUGUCUUUAUUCUACCACCCUUCACAUGCCACUAUUCUUUCUUAUUUAACCAUUUUUGGAUUUUUCAUUAUUUUUUUAAACUUUUUAUAAAUAAUUGAAAAAUCAAAAUUAUUUUUUUAUUUUUAAAUUAUAAAUAAACAAAAAUUAUAUUAAUGAUUCAAAGACUAUUUUGGAAAAUACUUUUAAAAAAAAUAUUAAUUUAAAUAAAUAAAAAUUACAUUUUACAUUUAUUUUUAUCUUUUAUAUUUUAGAAGUAAAUAAUUUAAUGAUUAAAAUACUAUUUAAAAUAAAUAUAUUCACUAUUUUAAUUUUUUUAUAUUAAAAAUUAUUUUAAUUUUUUUUUUACUAUUAUAAAAUAAAACGUUUAUUUUUUUUUAAUCUUCUUUCUUCCUUAUUUUAAUAACUUUUUGAACAUGACUUUUAGUAAUAAGUUAUAUGAAAUGUUACAAAUUUGUUUACUAGGGAUUUAUUUUAAUGAUUUGAAUUAAUUGAAAAUUUAUUAAAAUAAGAAAAAAAAAAGAAAAGAAAGAGGAUGGAUGGAAAGUUUUUAUUUUAAGUACUCAAUUAAAAUGUUUUCAUAUGACCGAACUUUAGAAGUGGAUUAUAUCAAUACAUAGUAGAGAUUGAAUUUUUCUUAUAUAAAAGGGUUGAAAGGUAUAUUUACUUAUUUUAGAUGAAAACAAGUAGUUAAAAAUUAUAUAGAUUAUAUUUGAGUUUGGUUUUAAAAUAUUUUUCUAGUUUUUAUUUUUUAUUUUUAAAAAUAAUUUUUAUUUUCUAUACUGUCUCUUUUUGAAAAUAUUUUUAAUUAAAAAAUGAAAACUAUUUUUUAAAAUGAAAUUGAAAACCUUGUUUAUUACUAUUUUUUAUAUGAAAAAAAAAACUAUUUAUUUAUUUAUUGCGUCACUGUACAAUUGUAUUACAUUAACUAUAUAAGGGAAAUGUACUAAAUGUAUAAAGGUGUACAAGGUUACUCUUUGUGAAAAUAUUAUAAUCGAUUAUGAGUCAUUCCUUUAUUUUUUUUAUCACUCAUGAAUUGUAAUAUUAUAAUCGAUUAUAAAGGUGCACUUUAUUUAAUUUCCGCAUGGAAAUUCCAAUAUUUUUCCUAAUAAUAAUAUUUGGAGAAAAAAAAUUUUGACCUUAAAUCAUCUACCAUCUUCUCAACUAAAUCAUUGAAAAUAUGAUUAAACACUCCUACGUGGACACAUAACUUAGGAGGGAUAUAAAAUUUGUGUCAUUGUACAAGAGUAUUACACUAAUUGUACAAGGGAAAUGUACUAAUUGUACAAAAGUGUAUAAGAUUACCCUUUGUGAAUGAUUUUAAUUGAUUCUAAACUACUUUUUUAUUUUCCUUGUCACCCAAUGAUUGUACACGUAUGUCAUGCACUUUAUUUAACUCUUAUAUGAAAAUUCUAAUAUUUUUCCCAAUAAUGAUAUUCGGGGAAAAAAAUUGACCCUAAGUCAUCCACCAUUUUUUCAACCAAACCAUUGAAAAUAUGAUUAAUACACCUACAUGGAUAUAUAAAUUAGGAGAUAUAUGAAAUUUGUAUCAUUGUACAAGGGUAUUACACUAACUGUACAAGGAUAUUACACUAAUUGUACAAGGGAAAUGUGCUAAGUGUACAAGGGUGUACAAGGCUUCUAAUAGGUUUUAUACGAUUUUUAAAUAACUUGAAUUUGACAUUAAGACGAUUAUUGAUAGUUUUGUUUUUCUUUUUUUACCAAACUAUGUCAUUAAGACAUUCUCUACAAAAAUUAACACAUAGGAAAUAAAAUUAAAAUCAAUCAUGUUUGAAUUGUUCAUUAUAAGUAAACUAAAUGAAAUAUAUAUUUUUACUAUUUUGCCUUUGUAAAUAUAAUUUCAUUGUUAUCAAUAGAGAUUAAAAAAAUCAUAUUUAAAUGGCAUUAAAAAUAAACAAAAAAUAUUUUUAUAACAUUUUUAUUUUUUUAAAUCAUUAAUUUAAAUUAUGAAAUUAGUUUUAAAGUUAAAAAUAUUUGUUGUAAUUAUAGUUUUGAAGAUUUCAUGAUUUUUAUCUUAUUACUUUGAAAAAAUUGCUUUAAUAAGAAAUUAUUUAUUUUAAUGGUUUUAAAUAUUUAAAUCUUUAUUAAAAAAUAUUAAGGAUUAGUGUGGAGAACAAUUAGGUAAUUUUGGAAUGGAGAAAUUUUGAAUAUUUUUGAAGACUUUAAUUCGGCCAAUUACCCUAUUUACAUUUUCAAAAUUAUUGGAAGGUUGGUAAAUUAGUCUUAUAAAUAUUGUCUUCUUGAUUAAUAUUAUAUAUAUAUAUAUAUGCAUGUGAAUAUUUACAUUAUAUUCAAAAAAAUAAUAAACACCACGUGCCUAAUUUGCAAGUUAGAAAAAAAAAAUUAAUAAUAUUUUAUAAGGUAUUUAAAAAGUAUUUAUUAUAUGUUCUAUAAAUUUGAAAAAAUAUAAUAUUUGAUGAUAUCUAAUUUACAAGUUAGAGUAAACAAAUAAUACUAAUAUUUUAGGAGGUGUUUAAAAAUUAUUUAAUAUAUAUGAGAAAUAAUAUAGGUUUGAAAUAAAGAAUGAUAUUUAUUAUAUAUUAUGUAAGUUUGAAAAAAAGAAUAAUAUUUGAUAAGGUUUUUAAAAGUUAUUCACUUCAAAAAUACAUUUGGUAAUAAUAAUUUUUAAUCAUCUUUCAUAUUUGAUGAAGAAAAAUGAUUCAAAUUGGUUUCAUUAUUAAAUAGGUGAGAGAAGGGCAAAAGAGUCAAAGAGAAAAUGAAAAAAGUAAGGUGAUUGGUUAGUUUUUUCAUUUAAUAGUCAAUGGUAUUAUGGAUUUUUUAAAGACAAUAUCCUUACUCUCAAUUUCCACUCUUUCAUUGGGUGUUGGGUUUAAAUAUGAAACUUAUAUGGACCAUAUAUUAAUUUUUGGGCCCAAAACACAAUUUUCCUUAAGAAUAAUCAUUAUUAUUAUUUUGAUUCAUUACCCUCGUCUUCACAUUCUCUUACCUUCUAAUUAUUAUUAAUACUACUUUCCUUAAAAAACGGUGCACAAAUUGUUUUUAUUUAUUUUAUUUUUUUAAAUUAUAAUUAUUAUUUUUCUAUGCAAGCAGUACACAAAUUGACAUUUGUUUAUUAUUAAUAUUAUUUGCUUCCCUUCCUAGGUCAAAGAGCACGUGCAGGUUUUUUUAGGACAUACCUAAUUUAAUAAAAAUAAUUUAAUAAAAUUAUUUUUAUUAAAUUAAAUUAAUUAUUUUUUUAAAAUUAUAGUUUUACCCCUAAAUUGGGUUUGGGACGUCACAAUAGGUGUCCUACGAUUGCAUUGCAUGAGAAAGGGCAUCCUAAAUAGCAUGUGGAGGAGCUAAGAUAUGCCCCGACUUACUAAUAAUAAUGAAGGGCUGAAGAAGCAUACUCUCUUUUGGGUAGACCCUUCCAAGCGGAACCAAUUCCUUAGUGGCUUGCUAGUUGGCCUAGGCUAUCCUUUACUUACUGCUGAACAGUUUCACCACUUCAUUAAAAAUAUGUCUUCCUAUAGCUGCCAUGGGGGAAAUAUAUAUGUAUAUUUUCAAAUGAAAAAGUUUCAUGCUUAAAAUUUGAAAACACAUCAAAGUGUAAAACACUUUUUUUUUUUUUUUUUUUUUGCAUAAAACUAAAAAAAGAAAAAAAAGAAAAGGGAAAUGUAUCUCAAAGGAAACUAAAUUAUUGAAUUCGUCCAUAAUAAUUUAUUUUCAGUUCCACACAGAUACUAUGGAAGCUGAAACAGAUUGUGGCCAGCAAUGUCUUUCGAAUGCUUUAAAAAAUCGCCGACCAUCCAAGUGGCUGGCAUAAUUGAAGCAUGCGGGCAAAGCAUUAUUUCAUUUGAUAAAGAAGCUAGGCCCCGCGCAACUGUCUCUCCCAGAAUAUCUCGGAUGAUUUGUCUUUUUAUAGGCCAUGUUUUCAAAAACGUGUCUAAAUUAAAAAAAAAAAAAAAGAAGAAUUUUUUAUGAAUAUAAAAAAAAAAAAAAAUUAUUUUUAAAAAUUAAUAGCUCAAAUAUAAAAAAUAAAUUUUUGGGCUUAUUGAAAUGAUUAUAUUUAUGUAUAAUGAAUUUUUUUUAAAAUAUUAUUCAUAUUUUUUAUUAUCUUUUUGAAUGUUUUUAAAACCUCAAAUUUAUUCUAAAAAAUGAUAUGAUUUAUAUUUUUAGUAAAAAAAAUUGAUAAAUAUUAUAGUUUUAAAAACCGGACUGGAUCGACAUGUCCGACUGAAUGACCCAGUGGUUGAAUCGCUGACUCGGUGAACCGGGUCACCGGUUCGAGCCUGUAUUCUCUUGGCCAAAAUGGGUCGUGCUGUUGGGCUUUAAAUCUGGGAAGUGCACGGGCCGCUACUCAACUCGCAUCCAGAUGCUGGGCAAGCCAAAAAUAUAAAGGCAUUUUAUUCUCCAUGCCAUUUCGAUGCCACCAUUACCCUAUUAUGACUUAUGUAAACAUUUUCACAUCAACUAAAAAAAAUAGAUUCUUCCCAAAAUUUAUAUAUAUAUAUAUAUAUAUAUAUAUAUAUAUAUAUAUAUAUAUAUAUAUAUAAAUUAAAUAACUUUCAAUAAAUAACUUCGUAUUUAAAUAUUAUAUAUAUUUUAUUUAGUAAAAUAUUAAAAUAUUAAUACAUCUAUAUAAUAUAUACUAAUUUGAUAAUAAUGAACAAAUAAAUAUUAUUAAUUUUUUAUUUCCUUAAGUAUUUAAAUUUUUAUAAAAAUUUUAAAUUUUAAUAAUAUGUAAAUUAUAUAUUUAUGAUCUCACCGAUACAAGAACUGUGAAUAAAUAUGUUAUUUAAGUUAGAAAAAUUGCAUUUCAAGAACCAUAAGAAGAAACUCUUUCUAUCUCCUUCUCCUUUGUUUUCAACCUUCUUCAUCAUCUUCUUCUUCUUAUUAUUAUUAUAAUUUAAGAAAAAUAUUUCUUUAAAAUGAUGAAAAAGUUUCACGCUUAAAAUUUGAAGACGAAGAUGACCACAAUUCAUUCACAAAGAAUACGGUAGCUAAGGUUGAAAAUUGUACUAUAAUGGAUAUGAAGCAACUGACCCAACCAUCAUCUAGCACACAAAAUACAUAUACCGGUACAAUUUCUCUAAUAGACUUGUUACAACCGCUCAAUGGAAGAGCAGUCAGGAUCCACACCUAGUAGCAUUCCAUAUUUCUUGCAGCAAGGCAUAUAGGAUUAAUUAGUACCCCAAUUGAACCUUUGCCGCUUAGAAACGCCUAAGUUGGCUAAUUGUGAAGGGAAGCAUAACUAUUGAUCAAACCCAAGGCGUUGCUAGUCAUAUGCGCCAUGUUAACUAUGCGAGCCCUCACGGUGGUCUUUAGAUUCCCAUUCAUGGCGUUUCCGGCGAACCCAUCAGUGCACGUGUCCUCAUCCGUCAAGGCAGUACUAACCCAUGUUUG